UGUAUGUAGUUCGAGAUUUUGUUCGUUUUUUUGAUCCAACCCUUCUAAAACUCUAAAAUUGUUCUAUACUUUCGGAAUAACACAGGGGAAGAUCAAAGCCCGCUUUGAAGGAAGGAAAAAUCCUCAAAGAGAUGGAAAUUUCGCUCUUAACGAGGGGAAAAUCACAUAAUAGACGGGCAAACUUCUCAGUAGAAAGAGAAGGAGAGAAAAAGAGA
rnacentral:ribozyme from 1 species